GAUGAACGCUGGCGGCGUGCCUAACACAUGCAAGUCGAGCGAUUCUCUUCGGAGAAGAGCGGCGGACGGGUGAGUAACGCGUGGGUAACCUGCCCUGUACACACGGAUAACAUACCGAAAGGUAUGCUAAUACGAGAUAAUAUACUUUUAUCGCAUGGUAGAAGUAUCAAAGCUUUUGCGGUACAGGAUGGACCCGCGUCUGAUUAGCUAGUUGGUAAGGUAACGGCUUACCAAGGCGACGAUCAGUAGCCGACCUGAGAGGGUGAUCGGCCACAUUGGAACUGAGACACGGUCCAAACUCCUACGGAGGCAGCAGUGGGGAAUAUUGCACAAUGGGCGAAAGCCUGAUGCAGCAAACGCCGCGUGAGCGAUGAAGGCCUUCGGGUCGUAAAGCUC
rnacentral:rRNA from 1 species